CUCAUUUUUCUGGAGGCUGGAAGCCUGAGAUCAAGGUGCUGGCAAGUAAGUUUCAUUCUGAGGCCUCUUUUCUUGGCUUGUAGGUGGCUGCCAUCCCGUUAUGUCUUCAUAUGACUUUUUUCUCUCUAGUGUCUCUUCUUAUAAGGGCACUAAUCUCAUCAUGAGGGUCCCCCUCAUGACCUCAUCUAAUCCUGAUUACUUUCCAAAGGCCCCACCUCCCAAUGCCAUCACAUUAGGGGUCAAGCUUCAACAUCUGAAUUUAGGGGGGAGACAUAAUUCUGCCCUUAACACUUUCUGUAACCUCAGGCCCUAGAAGAGUGCCUGGUACAUAGUGGGUACUCAGGAAUUAACUGUUACAUGAGUUCACAGUUGGAAAAACAUGUCAACUAUUAUUUACUAAUAUUUUAAUUUCUCAAAAAAUUUUACCACUAUUAAAUUUUACUCACUAAUAAUUAAUAAGCUAUAGGGAACGUCUCCAAAAACAGAGCAGCUGGUUUUUCACAGCCCUGUUCUAGAACCUUUAUAUAGAAUGAGUAAAAUAUAAAUUUUGCGUGUUCUUUGGAAGUUUAUAUACUAAAAGAGACAUUGUGCAGAUUGACACACACACUCUGCAGAGAGAAGUCCCGAGCGCUGAGGCCAGGGGUACAGCGUUCCAAGCCGCUCACAGUCAAGUCCAUCUCCACCAGGCUGUGGUCACCCCACUGAAUUCACUGUAACUCAUGGCUAUGGAGCUUUUGCUGGCAAACCCGUCUCUCUCAGACAACACUGAAAACCGAGCUAAUGAAAAGCAAGAAAUCAGGCCCCCUGUUCAUCAAGGAAGAUUGGAAAUAGAAUAAAGUUACAAAUGACCGGGAGCUGUGGAGAUGCUGUGAGGGUUUCCAACUCAUUCUUUCCUUUUCUUGUGACACAGACUGAUUCUGCUUGGGAAAUCCACUCAUUGGCACUGUGGAUCACGAAAUACCUUCUCUCGUCAUCUCUAAUACUCUUGUGUAGACACGGACCUAUCUUUUAUUCUGUUCACUUAAGAACAGUUUAAUUUACCACAUUAAUCAGGAAAAUACAAUCAUAACCCUGAAGAGGCAUUAAUAAUUCUAGUGGGUGUUUUCUAGUGUUUUGAACAUUCGUCUCUGCGGAGUCUCUUUAACAUGCCCACACACACAGAUAUUCAUAUUAGAAUCCCCUGGACACCUUUGCAACCCUGCAUCUG
rnacentral:lncRNA from 1 species